rnacentral:rRNA from 1 species
UACGGAGGGUGCAAGCGUUAUCCGGAUUCACUGGGUUUAAAGGGUGCGUAGGCGGACAGGUAAGUCAGUGGUGAAAUCUCUGGGCUUAACCCAGAAACUGCCGUUGAUACUAUUUGUCUUGAAUAUCCUGGAGGUGGGCGGAAUAUGUCAUGUAGCGGUGAAAUGCUUAGAUAUGACAUAGAACACCGAUAGCGAAGGCAGCUUACUACAGGAUGAUUGACGCUGAGGCACGAAAGCGUGGGGAGCAAACAGG